rnacentral:rRNA from 1 species
GAUGAACGCUAGCGGAGGCUUAACACAUGCAAGUCGAGGGGUAAAUGGCAGCAAUGCUAUGAGACCGGCGAACGGGUGCGUAACGCGUAUGCAACUUACCUUAUGCAGGGGGAUAGCCCGUGGAAACGCGGAUUAAUAUCCCAUAGAUCAGUGGUAUCGCAUGGUACAGCUGGUAAAGCUCAGGUGGCAUAAGAUGGGCAUGCGUCUGAUUAGCUGGUUGGUAGGGUAACGGCCUACCAAGGCGACGAUCAGUAGGGGUUCUGAGAGGAUUAACCCCCACACUGGUACUGAGACACGGACCAGACUCCUACGGGAGGCAGCAGUGAGGAAUAUUGGUCAAUGGGCGGAAGCCUGAACCAGCCAUCCCGCGUGAAGGAAGAAGGCCUUAUGGGUUGUAAACUUCUUUUCUGUUUGAAGAAUAAGCUUGUCGAGACAAGUGAUGCCGGUAGGACAGGAAUAAGCAUCGGCUAACUCCGUG